ACGGGUGCGUAACACGUGGGAAUGUACCUAGUGGUUCGGAACAACUCAGGGAAACUUGAGCUAAUACCGGAUGAGCCCGUAAGGGGAAAGAUUUAUCGCCACUAGAUCAGCCCGCGUAGGAUUAGCUAGUUGGUAGGGUAACGGCCUACCAAGGCGACGAUCCUUAGCUGUUCUGAGAGGAAGAUCAGCCACACUGGGACUGAGACACGGCCCAGACUCCUACGGGAGGCAGCAGUUGGGAAUCUUGGACAAUGGGCGAAAGCCUGAUCCAGCCAUGCCGCGUGAGUGAUGAAGGCCUUAGGGUUGUAAAGCUCUUUUACCCGGGAAGAUAAUGACUGUACCGGGAGAAUAAGCUCCGGCUAACUUCGUGCCAGCAGCCGCGGUAAUACGAAGGGGGCUAGCGUUGUUCGGAAUUACUGGGCGUAAAGCGUGCGCAGGCGGUCUCUCAAGUCAGGGGUGAAAGCCCAGAGCUCAACUCUGGAAUUGCCUUUGAAACUGUGAGGCUUGAGUGCGGGAGAGGUGAGUGGAAUUCCCAGUGUAGAGGUGAAAUUCGUAGAUAUUGGGAAGAACACCGGUGGCGAAGGCGGCUCACUGGCCCGUUUCUGACGCUCAUGCACGAUAGCGUGGGGAUCAAACAGGAUUAGAUACCCUGGUAGUCCACGCCGUAAACUAUGGACGCUAGCCGUUGGGUAGCUUGCUAUUCAGUGGCGCAGCUAACGCAUUAAGCGUCCCGCCU
rnacentral:rRNA from 1 species